rnacentral:ncRNA from 1 species
UCGUGUAAAACGAAGAAAGUAGUCUUGAUACAUCUGGGCGGACGCUGCUUGCAUGGCAGAUAACAGCGUAUCGUAUCUGUUUCAUGCCCAUUGAUGUUAUGCGGUUUGCCGGAUACGCGCCCUGUCGGUGGCGACAUUUAGACAGGGUAAGCCGCACAAGGCGUUUUAUUUCCUUUCAAUAAUU